GAAAUGUCACUCAUAGAUAAAAUGCUAGGAUCAUAUAUGAUUAUUUGGAUACUUAUAAAACAUACACAUAAAUGAGAACUGAUUAAGAUGGGUUACCCAAUAACACGUAUAACAACUUCAUAACAUAGAGCUAUCCUAAUCAAAGUGUUUUGCAGCGGAAAACGUGUGAGAUAUACAUAUGAAGAUGUAUACUCAAGGUUACAUUUCUUGAAAUGUCAAAGGAACACCCGCUCAACAUCAUUCCAUUCCAUCAACUGCUCAACCUGCACAUUUAGAAAUACAUGCAGGGCUGAGUAUAAAAAUACUCAGUGGGCAUAGCCGAAAAUACAUUCAUGCAUACAUAUAUAAAUUGAACUGCCAUAACAGUAACACACAGGGGUUUUCUU
rnacentral:lncRNA from 1 species